rnacentral:rRNA from 1 species
GACGAACGCUGGCGGCGUGCCUAAUACAUGCAAGUCGAACGAGAGCGCCCGGUGCUUGCCCUGGUCAAUCUAGUGGCGAACGGGUGAGUAACACGUGGGUAACCUGCCCAUCAGAGGGGGAUAACAUCCGGAAACGGAUGCUAAAACCGCAUAGGUCUUCGAGCCGCAUGGCUUGAAGAGGAAAAGAGGCGCAAGCUUCUGCUGAUGGAUGGACCCGCGGUGCAUUAGCUAGUUGGUGAGGUAACGGCUCACCAAGGCCGUGAUGCAUAGCCGACCUGAGAGGGUGAUCGGCCACAUUGGAACUGAGACACGGCCCAAACUCCUACGGGAGGCAGCAGUAGGGAAUCUUCCGCAAUGGACGCAAGUCUGACGGAGCAACGCCGCGUGAGUGAAGAAGGUUUUCGGAUCGUAAAACUCUGUUGUUAGAGAAGAACAAGUGCUAGAGUAACUGUUAGCGCCUUGACGGUAUCUAACCAGAAAGCCACGGCUAACUACGUG